UAAAAGUUGUUGAGAGUUGACAAACAUGGUUUUGGAGCCUCACCCCACUACGCACCGAGGGAGCCCCGCCUCCCCGCGCCACUCGUCGUGCCUCACGACUGCCUCACACCUCCUCUCCGCCAUGGCCAGCACCUCUGGAUUCUGGCUAGCCAUGGCCUCCCCGAGACGCGCCACCGAUGGAUCCAGCCAUCCAUGGCCUCCCUGCGCCGCGCCGCUGGUGGAUCCAGCCAUCCACGACCUCCCUUGAUGCGCCCUGCCGGAUCUGGCCAUCCCGAGCGCCCCUGGACCUUCCCGUGCAAGAUCAGGCAACCGAUUCCGCUCACCCCUCUCCUCGCCUCACCUCCUUCCCACCGUGCCGCACCUCUCCGACUACCAACCGCCGGCCUCGAGCGUCCACUUCUGCCCCCUGGAUAUUCUGCUUGCCGGCGUUGCCCCGGCCGAUCUAGACAGUUGGGUGGGGUUGGGGUGUCCGGGCGUCCAGACGAUGAGUUCCCGCCGGUGAGCUAGACGUCCUCCUUCCUCUUCUACCUCCCAUCCUCGUGGGAGCAGCGCGGCGUGUGCCUGUGCAGUGCAGUGCCCCCCGACGGGCAGUGCAGCAUGCUUGUUGGAGAGGCUCACUUUACUGUUGUCUGUUCACUUGCGGAGACCAGAGUGCUGUUCAGAAGCUUCCGUUGAGUAUAUUUUCCAGUGUGUUGAUGCAGUUCGUUGAGGGUGAGGUCUCCGGCAUGGGUCGUGCAGUGCGGUGCACACGUUCGUGCAGUCCGGUGGCGGUGCCGAUGUAAGAAGUGCGGUGAGCUCCUUGCCGUGAUCCUUGUCGUGGGCUCCUCAAUGGCGGUGGAGUGGACGGAUUAUGGGUCCAGGUUGGCAAUGGCUCCGGUUGCCCAGGGCGAGGGUGCCCUCUUUGUAGCUCACUGAAGUUUAUUUUUCAGCUCGCUGAAAGUUUGUUUUGUAGCUCGCUUGCUGGUAUAGUGCUUGGGCAACGCCUCCGUGUAGUUCAAGCAAUCGCGUGCGUGCAAUGCGGCGAGUGCGUGCGGUUCGGCGGUGCAAAGUAUUUGCAUUCUCGCUAUGUUAAUGCGUGCGGUUUAGUGCAUUUUAUAAGGGCGACUGCUACAAAUCAUCUGGCUAGGAAAUCAAUCGGGUCAAGCGCCGUUAUAGGUGCUGCUGUUUGUGGUUUUUGUGUGCGUCUAUCGAAUGUAUCUGGUUGGGAUAAGAUGUAUUUUGUAUAAAAAAUAUUUUUUAAGAAGUUCA